rnacentral:rRNA from 1 species
GACGUAGGGCGCGAGCGUUGUCCGGAUUUAUUGGGCGUAAAGAGCUCGUAGGCGGCUUGUCGCGUCGACUGUGAAAACUUGGGGCUUAACCCUGAGCUUGCGGUCGAUACGGGCAUGACUGGAGUUCGGCAGGGGAGACUGGAAUUCCUGGUGUAGCGGUGAAAUGCGCAGAUAUCAGGAGGAACGACCGGUGGCGAAGGCGGGUCUCUGGGCUGACACUGACGCUCGAUGCACGAAAGCGUGGGAGCAAACAGG